GUUUCCUGUGGCACAAUGGGUCUUUGUGUCUGGCUGUGAACCAGAAGGUUGGUGGUUCAAUCCCACCUAAGGAUG